CCAAGUGCCACUACAACUUGGGCUGUCAGACGUGUUGCAUCAACACCAACAAAGUCACCAGGAACAUCACGAAAUGCAUCAACACCAACAAGUUCACAAGUACCAUCAAGAAAUGCUUCCACAAGAUCACC